rnacentral:tRNA from 1 species
GGAGAGGUGUCCGAGCGGUCGAAGGAGCACGCCUGGAAAGUGUGUAUGCGGAAACGCAUCGAGGGUUCGAAUCCCUCCCUCUCCG